GAGUUUCUUGCCCAUGUGACCAAGAAUUGGUCAAAGUCACAGACACCUUUAGCAGCAACUCUUGGGAAGAAUGUGAUUGACUUGUCAGGAUUCUCAGUGUUAAAACCAAUGCUCUGAGUAUGAGUUGUGCAGUUGGAAUAAAGAACAGUGAAAUUACGCACCUCCCUCAAAACAUGCAAGGUCUCUUUCUUCUACACUAACUUGAUGAUGAUUGAAACCCUCUUUAGUUCACCACCAGUUCUUGUCUUCACUGUGGCCUCAACGUUCCCUUCCCGCUUGAUCUGUGUCUGUCACCUGACUCUCCCUGGAGCUAUGUGUCCCUCACGGAGAAGGCAUUGUUCCUACAUCAUUUUCGAACACCACUGAGGGAGUUUCUGUAAAACCCAAUCCAAUCUUUAAGGUAAAGAUUUUGUGUAUGUGUGAGAUAUAAGCACAUAAGACUUACGCAAAACGGCUUCUUU
rnacentral:lncRNA from 1 species